rnacentral:rRNA from 1 species
GAGCGGGACCUUCGGUGUGCAGCGGCGGACGGGUGAGUACACCUGGGUAACCUGCCUGAUAGACCGGGAUAACGCUUGGAAACGAGUGCUAAUACCGGAUAGGCUUUUGAAUCUCAUGCUUCGAUAGGGAAAGAGGCUAUCGCCUCACUGUCAGAUGGACCCGCGGCGCAUAAGCUAGUUGGUGAGGUAACGGCUCACCAAUGCGACGAUGCGUAUCCGAUCUGAGAGGGUGACCGGCCACUCUGGGACUGAGACACGGCCCAUACUCCUACGGGAGGCAUCAGUAGGGAAUCUUCCGCAAUGGGCGCAAGCCUGACGGAGCAUCGCCGCGUGAGUGAUGAAGGCCUUCGGGUUGUAAAACUCUGUCUUCUGUGAAGAACAAUCCUGUGAGUGGAAAGCUCAUGCCUUGACGGUAUCAGAGGAUGAAGCCCCGGCUAACUACGUGCCAUCAGCCGCGGUAAU